GUGGAUGGACAAUGGGUUAAUAUUCCCAUACUUGCUCACACUAAAAAGGGGACGGUUCGAUGUAGCUACUAAAGACGGACGGAAGUGUCAAGGCCUAGCCUUCGGGCGAAGCUGCUGUAGUGUAAUCGGAUCCAAGAAAAGCCGAAGUGAAGCAACCCGUACCAAAACCGACACAGGUGGUCGAGGAGAGAAUCCUAAGGUGCUCGAGUGAGUCGUGGCUAAGGAACUAGGCAAA
rnacentral:rRNA from 1 species